rnacentral:tRNA from 1 species
GAGGGUACAGCUCAGAGGUAGAGCACAUGCUUAGCAUGCACGAGGUCCUGGGUUCAAUCUCCAGUACCUCCA